CGUGUAGGCGGUUCUUCAAGUCUUUGGUGAAAUCUCCCGGCUCAACUGGGAGGGUGCCAGAGAUACUAGGGAACUUGAGGGCAACAUAGGAGAGCGGAAUUCCCGGUGUAGUGGUGAUAUGCGUAGAUAUCGGGAGGAACACCAGUGGCGAAAGCGGCUCUCUGGGCUGUACCUGACGCUGAGGCGCGAAAGCGUGGGGAGCAAACAGGAUUAGAUACCCUGGUAGUCC
rnacentral:rRNA from 1 species